GACGAACGCUGGCGGCGUGCUUAACACAUGCAAGUCGAACGGAAAGGCCCUGCUUUUGUGGGGUGCUCGAGUGGCGAACGGGUGAGUAACACGUGAGUAACCUGCCCUUGACUUUGGGAUAACUUCAGGAAACUGGGGCUAAUACCGGAUAGGAGCUCCUGCUGCAUGGUGGGGGUUGGAAAGUUUCGGCGGUUGGGGAUGGACUCGCGGCCUAUCAGCUUGUUGGUGGGGUAGUGGCUUACCAAGGCUUUGACGGGUAGCCGGCCUGAGAGGGUGACCGGCCACAUUGGGACUGGGAUACGGCCCAGACUCCUACGGGAGGCAGCAGUGGGGAAUAUUGCACAAUGGGCGGAAGCCUGAUGCAGCAACGCCGCGUGCGGGAUGACGGCCUUCGGGUUGUAAACCGCUUUCGCCUGUGACGAAGCGUGAGUGACGGUAAUGGGUAAAGAAGCACCGGCUAACUACGUG
rnacentral:rRNA from 1 species